UCCGGUUUAACACCGGCAGUCUCGUUAGAGUGCCCGGCCGAACCGCUGGCAACUAACGACAAGGGUUGCGCUCGUUGCGGGACUUAACCCAACAUCUCACGACACGAGCUGACGACAGCCAUGCAGCACCUGGACAUCCAGUUCUCUUGCGAGCACAUCCACAUCUCUGGAGGGUUCCUGGCAUGUCAAGGGUAGGUAAGGUUUUUCGCGUUGCAUCGAAUUAAUCCACAUAAUCCACCGCUUGUGCGGGUCCCCGUCAAUUCCUUUGAGUUUUAGCCUUGCGGCCGUACUCCCCAGGCGGGGCGCUUAAUGCGUUAGCUACGGCACGGAUCCCGUGGAAGGAAACCCACACCUAGCGCCCACCGUUUACGGCGUGGACUAC
rnacentral:misc_RNA from 1 species